AUUGAACGCUGGCGGAGUGCUUUACAUAUGCAAGUCGAACGGUAGAGGGGGCAACCCCUCGAGAGUGGCGAACGGGUGGGUAAUAUAUCGGAACGUGCCCAGUCGUGGGGGAUAACGUAGCGAAAGUUACGCUAAUACCGCAUACGAUCUAAGGAUGAAAGCGGGGGAUCGCAAGACCUCGCGCGAUUGGAGCGGCCGAUAUCAGAUUAGGUAGUUGGUGGGGUAAAGGCUCACCAAGCCAACGAUCUGUAGCUGGUCUGAGAGGACGACCAGCCACACUGGAACUGAGACACGGUCCAGACUCCUACGGGAGGCAGCAGUGGGGAAUUUUGGACAAUGGACGCAAGUCUGAUCCAGCCAUUCCGCGUGCAGGAUGAAGGCCCUCGGGUUGUAAACUGCUUUUGUACGGAACGAAAAGGUCUCUCUUAAUACGGGGGGCUCAUGACGGUACCGUAAGAAUAAGCACCGGCUAACUACGUGCCAGCCGCCGCGGUAA
rnacentral:rRNA from 1 species